rnacentral:lncRNA from 1 species
AAAAGGAGACAUAAAAUUCAACUUUUGCUAGCCACUCUUUCCCUUUUUGCUCUCCACCUCAUAUGUGCAGUAUUUAUUUUGUUUGUCUUAUUCUGGUCAUAAAGUUAUCUAGGAGGCUAGGAGCGCUGACCACCAUCAGAGAUGGGAAAGCAGUCUGUUCUGAUUGUAGUGACGAAAGGAGUUCAAUUCACACCAAGGGUCUUUCUCGCAUUUAGAAACAUCCUAUUAUUUAAGGCCUUUCGCUCAUAUAAGCUCAUCACUAGUUCUUUACCUUUCUAUUUCAUUUCUCUCUACUCUCAUGUUUGUGUUCUCUGUUCCUA